AUAACUUAGAAAAUGUUUUGGAAAACUUGAAAAUCAAGCUCUCAGACGAGAAACUAAAAGAUCUGUCAGAAAACCUUCCAGUUGACGACUCUGGGAAGACUGAUCUGCAGACACUACUAAGAGAAGUGAGAAAAUUCACAGGAGGAAAAAUUGAUACUAAAGUCACAAAAAAAGUGCUGGGGGACAUGGGCAUAGAGCUCACAAACAGGGAAGUCAAUGCGCUGAUGAGAAGGCUGCCUAUCGCUGAUGAUGGGAAAAUACUUAAAAACAUAUUACUUGACCAAAUGAAGUGGUUUUCUGGGGGAAAGUGUUAUGUCUCCAAACUGGAUUCCAUCCUAGAAGAACUGGGCUAUGAACUGGAGGAGGAGGAAAUUGAAGACCUGAAGAACCGUCUGCCAAUUGAA